rnacentral:rRNA from 1 species
AUAUGAACCGUUAUAACCGGCGAUUUCCGAAUGGGGAAACCCAGUGUGUUUCGACACACUAUCAUUAACUGAAUCCAUAGGUUAAUGAGGCGAACCGGGGGAACUGAAACAUCUAAGUACCCCGAGGAAAAGAAAUCAACCGAGAUUCCCCCAGUAGCGGCGAGCGAACGGGGAGCAGCCCAGAGCCUGAAUCAGUGUGUGUGUUAGUGGAAGCGUCUGGAAAGGCGCGCGAUACAGGGUGACAGCCCCGUACACAAAAAUGCACAUGCUGUGAGCUCGAUGAGUAGGGCGGGACACGUGGUAUCCUGUCUGAAUAUGGGGGGACCAUCCUCCAAGGCUAAAUACUCCUGACUGACCGAUAGUGAACCAGUACCGUGAGGGAAAGGCGAAAAGAACCCCGGCGAGGGGAGUGAAAAAGAACCUGAAACCGUGUACGUACAAGCAGUGGGAGCACGCUUAGGCGUGUGACUGCGUACCUUUUGUAUAAUGGGUCAGCGACUUAUAUUCUGUAGCAAGGUUAACCGAAUAGGGGAGCCGAAGGGAAACCGAGUCUUAACUGGGCGUUAAGUUGCAGGGUAUAGACCCGAAACCCGGUGAUCUAGCCAUGGGCAGGUUGAAGGUUGGGUAACACUAACUGGAGGACCGAACCGACUAAUGUUGAAAAAUUAGCGGAUGACUUGUGGCUGGGGGUGAAAGGCCAAUCAAACCGGGAGAUAGCUGGUUCUCCCCGAAAGCU